GUUCAAUUCUGGCUCAGAUUGAACGCUGGCGGGAUGCUUUACACGUGCAAGUCGAACGGCAGCACGAACUGGUCUGGUGGCGAGUGGCGAACGGGUGAGUAAUGUAUCAGGGCAGUACUGCCUAGUAGCGGGGGAUAACUACGCGGCGUAGCUGUACCUGCCACGCCCUUCGGGGGAAAGCGGGGACGCUGGGCCUCACCGCUAUUAGAGCGGCCGAUAUCGGAUUAGCUAGUUGGUGGGGUAACGGCUCACCAAGGCGACGAUCCGUAGCUGGUUUGAGAGGACGACCAGCCACACUGGGACUGAGACACGGCAGACUCCUACAGGAGGCAACAGUGAAAUUUUUGGACAAUGGGGAAACCUGAUCCAGCCAUCCCGUGUGCGAUGAAGGCCUUCAGGUUGCAAAGCACUUUUUGGCAGGAAAGAAACGGCACGGGAUAAUACCCCGUGCAACUGACAGUACCUGCAGAAUAAGCACCAGCUAACUACGUGCAGCAGCCACUUGCUGAUGACUACUGUAGGUGCAGCGUUAAUCAGAAUUGGGCGUAAAGCGUGCGCAGGCGUUCGGAAAGAAAGAUGUGAGAAAUCCAAACGCUUUGGAACUGCAUUUUUAACUACCGAGCUUCGUGUCAGAGGGAGGUGGAAUUCCACACGCGUGGCGGUGAAAUGCGUAGAUAUGCGGAGAACACCGAUGGCGAAGGCAGCCUCCUGGGAUAACACUUUGACGCUCAUGCAACAGCGAUGGGAGCAAAGCAGGAUUAGAUACCCUGGUAGUCCACGCCCUAAACGAUGUCAACUAGCUGUUGGGGCCUUCGGGCCUUGGUAGCGCAACUAACGCUAUGAAGUUGACCGCCUGGGAAGUGCAGUGCAAGAAUUAAAACUCAAAGGAAUUGACGAGACCCGCACAAGCGGUGGAUGAUGUGGAUUAAUUCGAUGCAACGCGAAAAACCUUACCUACCCUUGACAUGUCUGGAAUCCCGAAGAGAUUUGGGAGUGCUCGCAAGAGAACCGGAACACAGGUGCUGCAUGGCUGUCGUCAGCUCGUGUCGUGAGAUGUUGGGUUAAGUCCCACCAACGAGCGCAACCCUUGUCAUUAGUUGCUACGAAGGGCACUCGAGGCUGCCGGUGACAAACCGGAGGAAGGUGGGGAUGACGUCAAAGUCCUCCAUGGCCCACUUACUCGGUGGGCUUCACCCGUGUACAAUGGUCGGGACGGGGUCGCCAACCCGCGAGGGAAUAAUCCGAAACCCGAUCGUAGUCGGAUCGCAGUCUGCAACUCGACUGCGUGAAGUCGGAAUCGCUAGUAAUCGCGGAUCAGCAUGUCGCGGUGAAUACGUUCCGGGUCUUGUACACACCGCCCGUCACACCAUGGGAGUGGGUUUUACCAGAAGUAGUUAGCCUAACCGUAAGGGCGAUUACCACAGUAGGAUUCAUGACUGGGAAAUUGAAGUCGUAACAAGGUAAG
rnacentral:rRNA from 1 species